rnacentral:rRNA from 1 species
CCUACGGGCGGCAGCAGUGGGGAAUAUUGGACAAUGGGGGCAACCCUGAUCCAGCCAUGCCGCGUGUGUGAAGAAGGCCCUCGGGUUGUAAAGCACUUUCAGUGAGGAAGAACGCCUGGUGGUUAAUACGCAUCAGGAUAGACAUCACUCACAGAAGAAGCACCGGCUAACUCCGUGCCAGCAGCCGCGGUAAUACGGAGGGUGCGAGCGUUAAUCGGAAUUACUGGGCGUAAAGCGCGCGUAGGUGGCUUGAUAAGCCGGUUGUGAAAGCCCCGGGCUCAACCUGGGAACGGCAUCCGGAACUGUCAAGCUAGAGUGCAGAAGAGGAAGGUAGAAUUCCCGGUGUAGCGGUAAAAUGCGUAGAGAUCGGGAGGAAUACCAGUGGCGAAGGCGGCCUUCUGGACUGACACUGACACUGAGGUGCGAAAGCGUGGGUAGCAAACAGGAUUAGAUACCCCUGUAGUC